rnacentral:rRNA from 1 species
GACGGAGGGUGCUAGCGUUGUUCGGAUUACUGGGCGUAAAGGGCGCGUAGGCGGUCAGCACAAGUCAGUUGUGAAAUCUCCGGGCUUAACUCGGAAAGGUCAACUGAUACUGUGCGACUAGAGUGCGGAAGGGGCAACUGGAAUUCUCGGUGUAGCAGUGAAAUGCGUAGAUAUCGAGAGGAACACCUGCGGCGAAGGCGGGUUGCUGGGCCGACACGUGACGCUGAUGCGCGAAAGCCAGGGGAGCGAACGGG